AGUGAACGCUGGCGGUAGGCCUAACACAUGCAAGUCGAACGGCAGCACAGUAAGAGCUUGCUCUUACGGGUGGCGAGUGGCGGACGGGUGAGGAAUACAUCGGAAUCUACUUUUUCGUGGGGGAUAACGUAGGGAAACUUACGCUAAUACCGCAUACGACCUACGGGUGAAAGCAGGGGAUCUUCGGACCUUGCGCGAUUGAAUGAGCCUAUGUCGGAUUAGCUAGUUGGCGGGGUAAAGGCCCACCAAGGCGACGAUCCGUAGCUGGUCUGAGAGGAUGAUCAGCCACACUGGAACUGAGACACGGUCCAGACUCCUACGGGAGGCGGCAGUGGGGAAUAUUGGACAAUGGGCGCAAGCCUGAUCCAGCCAUACCGCGUGGGUGAAGAAGGCCUUCGGGUUGUAAAGCCCUUUUGUUGGGAAAGAAAAGCAGCAGGUUAAUACCCCGCUGUUCUGACGGUACCCAAAGAAUAAGCACCGGCUAACUUCGUG
rnacentral:rRNA from 1 species